GGACCGAGCAAAACAACAGCAGCACAUUGCUGAUCAGAGAGAGCCAGAGGGAAAGGAGAUGGUCCUCCCGCAGCCGGGUGGUGAGGGUGCUGCCUGAAAAGGCUAAGCACGAGAUCAAGUGUAACCAGUAACAGAGUCAUUACAGAGAACCCAAGUGACGAACACCAGCCGGCUGCGUCAGACCUGACCACAGCUGAUGGAAACAGACCCACAGCAAACGCAAAGGCAGAGGACACCAAGAGAGCACGAAGGGAAGCCGUGAAUAGCAUGUUAAAGUACAAUGGCCCUUGCCCUUUCCUUUGCACAUUAAAUGGUGCAGGAUGCAAACCAGGUCAAUGGAAGCAGCUUCAUGUUUUACCAUGCAAAGACAGUUUGUUUGGACAGUGGCACAUAUAACACAACGUGAUUUGGAAAUAGCUCGCUAUUCAUUUACUGUUGCCGAGUCAAGACCCAUCACCGUCUUAUCAGGGAAAUAUGAAGCAAAGAAUGGAGAUCCAAACUCAUAUUAGACACAAAUUCCUACUCUUCUACGUCCAUGCAGCAACCUUACAUUCACCACCAGGAGUUUCUACGGAUACUUAAUCAGACCAGUCCUGGACAUUUUGAUGGAGCCAAUAACCUGGAGCGAGGUGUACUGAUGAUGCACUAAGAUGACAGAGAAGGUAAAUCUGGAGUAAUUACUACAGAAGAAAAAGUAGGUAAUGAGAAUAGGCAGUGAAUCGGUAUCUUAAGCACAUGACUCGGACUGCAGCAUUCAAGGAGGUUAGUUCACAGUGACCACAGCAGCUGAAGGCUCCUUUGAAGUUCGGACUGCUGAUAGAGCUCUGUUACAGAUGAAGCUUGUAUUUAAUGACUGAAGUAGAAGCAUCUGGCAUCUGAAAAAUGUCUGGUUUAGCAAUCUGACCUGCAAAUCUAGUAUUCAUUUGGAAUAUUGAAUCCUUCAUAUAC